rnacentral:misc_RNA from 1 species
AAAUUCUCGGUUCCCCCCAGGGUUUGGGGGUCUUCCGGUAAUGGGCGCCUCCUGUCACGCACCCCGUCCAGGUCGCCUGAAAUAUAACAGCGACCGAUCGCGAAUCUCGCGUCCGGCCACGGCGUAUUACGUUGGGCUCGCCCGACAAUCCUUCGCCAAGCUUGCCAGCGCAUCUCCGACGUCGCUAACGUAGAAAUUACAACCGCGCGCGCGCACCACACACGCGCUGCACAGUUGACCA